GACGAACGCUGGCGGUGUGCUUAACACAUGCAAGUCGAACGGAAAGGCCCUGCUUUUGUGGGGUGCUCGAGUGGCGAACGGGUGAGUAACACGUGAGUAACCUGCCCUUGACUUUGGGAUAACUUCAGGAAACUGGGGCUAAUACCGGAUAGGAGCUCCUGCUGCAUGGUGGGGGUUGGAAAGUUUCGGCGGUUGGGGAUGGACUCGCGGCUUAUCAGCUUGUUGGUGGGGUAGUGGCUUACCAAGGCUUUGACGGGUAGCCGGCCUGAGAGGGUGACCGGCCACAUUGGGAUUGAGAUACGGCCCAGACUCCUACGGGAGGCAGCAGUGGGGAAUAUUGCACAAUGGGCGGAAGCCUGAUGCAGCAACGCCGCGUGCGGGAUGACGGCCUUCGGGUUGUAAACCGCUUUCGCCUGUGACGAAGCGUGAGUGACGGUAAUGGGUAAAGAAGCACCGGCUAACUACGUG
rnacentral:rRNA from 1 species